rnacentral:rRNA from 1 species
CAGUCGCCGCGGUAAUACAGAGGGUGCAAGCGUUAAUCGGAAUUACUGGGCGUAAAGCGCGCGUAGGUGGUUUGUUAAGUUGGAUGUGAAAGCCCCGGGCUCAACCUGGGAACUGCAUCCAAAACUGGCAAGCUAGAGUACGGUAGAGGGUGGUGGAAUUUCCUGUGUAGCGGUGAAAUGCGUAGAUAUAGGAAGGAACACCAGUGGCGAAGGCGACCACCUGGACUGAUACUGACACUGAGGUGCGAAAGCGUGGGGAGCAAACAGGAUUAGAGACCCCAGUAGUCCCUGUCUCUUAUAC